CCCUUAGAUGUUCUGGGCCGCACGCGCGCUACACUGAUGAAUUCAACGAGCCUAGCCUUGUCCGAAAGGUCCGGGUAAUCUCUGAAACUUCAUCGUGGUGGGGAUAGAUCAUUGCAAUUAUUGAUCUUCAACGAGGAAUUCCUAGUAAGCGCAAGUCAUCAGCUUGCGUUGAUUACGUCCCUGCCCUUUGUACACACCGCCCGUCGCUUGUACCGAUUGGAUGGUCCGGUGAAAUCUUCGGAUAGCUGGUAGUUGGCUUGCCAUCUGCUGCUAAAAGUUGCUUAAACCUUAUCAUCUAGAGGAACAAGAAGUCGUAACA
rnacentral:rRNA from 1 species